rnacentral:lncRNA from 1 species
UUUCCUUCCUUUCCCCACACUGCUCCAUGAAAUUAAGACAGUUAUAGGCAAUUAAAAAGCUUAGAAAGUUUGUUUCUAGUAGUCUUCUGUUCCUAGAAACAGAAAAGAAAAAAAUUAGUGUAUCAAUAGAAAAGACGGGUCUAUACAAAGGAAUGAACAGUGAAAUGUAUUUGAGUAACUAUAAAAGUGGUAUUUUUCUGUUCCUUUAAUUGCUAUUUUUUUACAGUUUUUCCUAAGUUUUAUUUUUCUCAAGAAAUUAACUAUUCAAAGCAAAAAAACCCAGUAACUUGUAGAGUGUAAAAACCAUGAAAAGGAAAGCAUGAGCACAGCAGCACAAGCUCUGUGUGCAGAUGUGGAGUACAGGUGCUGCUAAGUGUAUAUGAGGCGGCAUCUCACCUCAGUGACCAUCAUAAGCUGAAAAUAGCCUACUCAGCAGCAUAGCUGACCAGCAUAAUAUAUACAGUGUGUAUUGUUCACCCUUGUGGCUCUGUAGCUGAUUGAGUACUGUAGCUUGCUGCCACUAUACGUGACUACAUAUCCUUAGUGCAGGAAAAGGUCAGAACUCAGAAAUGAAGUAUGGUUUGUACUGAAUUCAGAUUCUUUUAUACUGUCCAAAAGUCAAAAGCCUCAUGAAUUGAACUUUCAGAAAUCAUGGACUGUCUGUGCAUGGCAGUGUUCUCACGUUACAUGUAAAGUGCUACGAGGUAAUAUGUACUGUAUAAAUUAAUGAUACAUGUUAUCAUCCCUAGGGCAUCAUAGUUAGAAUGAAUUAAUAGAGACAGUACUGGCAUGUUAAAAACUACUGCAUUGUAACAAUGAUAAAAAAUUAACUUGACAGAGAAAGAAAACAAAGCACUGAGGAGUAGACUUAUGUUAGUGGAACUUGAUGUAAUAUCUUCACUAAGAAAAAAUUGGUUGUCUUUAUAAAAUUAAAAUAGAGUUAUAUACCUUAAAGUUAUCCUUUGGUUUAUAUUCAUACAAAGUUCAUUUAUAAUUUUAUAAUAAAUUUGCCAAACUGAUUUACUCAAAUGUUGGUCAGCAAGUCAAAUCAUUGUCAUGCUUGUACAGUAAACACUGUUUAGCAAAACAAAGAAUUGAGCACUAACUCAGCAGUAAUCUCAAAUGCUGUGAGAUAUUUGAUCACACUGUGAAUCCUGAGAUUGUGCUAUAUAUUUACUGAAAAAUCCUGUUUCUAGUUUUGUGGCUCAGCCCUUAGUACACACCUUUUAUCCCAAACAAUGAAGAUAAGGUUAGUUUGUAGAAAAAGACACACCCAUGUUUGAAAGUGAUGUCUAAUUGAGUGGAAGACAAAGUGAUGAAUCAGAGAAAGAUUAGAUAGAAUUGGGUAUGUCCAACUCUCGGGAGGUCAGAGAAAAGAGAGGCUACUUAAAGAGAGUAGUGCAGAGAAAAGAGGAGGCUGUUUUACUGGGAGAGGUUUUCAGAGACAGCAAAUAUUCUCUCCCAGCCCAGAGUCUGUCUCUUGCGUUGAUGUUUCCUUUGCCGUACGUACAGAAGCUUUUACUGUGAUACAAUCUCAUUUGUCAGUUCUCGGUGUUAUUUCUGAGUUCCUGCAGUCCUCUUUAGAAAGUCCUUGACAAUACCUUUAUCUUGAAAUGUUUUCUCUCCUUAGCAUCAACUUUUAGAAUUUCUGGAUGUAUAGUAUAAUGUCUUUUAUUCAUGUUUAAUUUAUUUUUAUUCAGAAUGAAAAGUGUAUGUCUAUUUUGAUUUUUCUACAUGUGUUUGUCCAUUUUCCCAGCACUGUAUGUUGAAGAGGUUAUACUUUUCCUCAGUGUAUAUUACUGUAUAUAUUAUUUGCAUCUUUGUAAAAAAUAUGGUUCACAAUUAAUUGUAUGGAUUUAGUUCUGAGGCUUCUUAUCUAGUCUGUUAACUGUGUCUGCUUUGUACCUGUUGGAUACUGUUUUUAUUACUGUUGUUUUGAAGGGCAAUUCAAAAUUCAAAAUACUCUCAGUAUUGUUCUUUUUGCUUAUGUUUGGUUUGGAUGUUUGCAAUCUUCUGUGCCUUCAUGUGAAUUUCUAGUUCUGUAAAAAAGGUUACUGGAAUUUUGAUGGUGAUUGUAUUAAAUAAGGUCAUUUUCGGUAAAACAGCUAUUUUUGCACUGUCAAUUUUACC